UCGACUUUAAUAGUGCGUAAGUGUAAGCACGUGAGUACCUCUCUGCGGGAUCAGGGGUAAGGAGGUACCAGACCCCAGAUUUGAAUCUGAUCAACUACUCAUCGUCCUGUUUGGGGGGGGGGGGGGAUAAAAUUAAGGGACAAUGUUGCAAAGAAGUCAGAGCUUCAUGAAGAUGGGGGGGAAGAAUAUUGCAGAAUAUUUUGGUAUUUUUAAGGCAGAUUUCCAUUCUGAAUUAACCUCAAAAUGUGUAGUUUUCAGGAUACUCUUAAAUAUCCAUUCUACCAGCUCAAACAAGCAAAAAUCAGAAAAUCCAGCAAACCUUACACUUCCAUCCACUCUUAGGUAUUGCAGUGAAAUGUUGCAUCACCACGUGGUGAUGUCCUGUCACAAUCACGCAGCUUUGCAAAAACAUAAGAGCUGGCAAACCCUGUGAUCAACAUAGCAAAAAUACCUUUUUUUGGAAGGACAGGCUUGUGGUUAAUGCACAGGACAACACCCCAAAGGGAUUCUCCACAAGAUUGCAAGAUUUUGCCACCAUCAUCUUCCAUCAGGGUUUUUGCGCUUCAGUGCAUCCCCUGGUUGUCUUGACAACACCCACUCCCCUAAAAAGUAAUGUAGACUUCUUUGGGCUGUGCAUGCUACCUGGUGGAGGGGAAACCCUGCUUCUUUGUGCCAUCACAAUCUAUGCACAGUUGAAGCCUGACCUUGAGGACUCUGCCAUGUUCUGCAUCAGGGCUGAAGCUGGUCUUGCGUGAGACACAUCAGGGCACCUGGUCAACCUAUGAAAUUCAUUGUCAUUGAAGGUCAUUGAGGUAAAUAUUGUAGCUGGAUUUUAAAAUUAAACAAUUAUUUUAUGAUAUAACUGCAUAAUUUCAUGAGCACUAACAAUGGGCUUGAUCUUGCUCUUAUUAACAUGAACAGCAAAAUCCUCAAAAUCCUUGCAGUAAUACAAAGUCCAAUAUAAAGUGAUGAGAGAAAUCACAUCUCGGAUGUCUGGGAGGAAGCUGGUCACCUUCAGAGAUCAGAAUGGAGUUCCCCUGCUUCAGCACUGUACGGCACUGCACAACUAAGGUGGGAGCAAAAAGUAAUUCCUCUGAAAUAUCAGAUACUGGCAACUGCUGCAAGCAGGAUGCCAAAAUAGGUGAACCAACUAAUCUGGUACUGCAAGGAUUCCUCCCAUUGAUGAUGUAGUGCCUGCCAUCUGUUUCAGUUUCACAAACUAGGGAUACUGUUAUAUCCACAGCUACUGCUAGAGGAUCAUAUAGCAGAAGACACAAGGAAUAUAUUUUCCAUCUGCACCUAGCCAGAAGAUUGUGACCAUUUCUUUUGAAUGUGGACCUUGCAAGUGUGAUCUAUUUCUUUGUCAUCUUGAGGCUGGAUUACUGCAGUGGGAGUUUUACCUCUGGCUUCAAUAGGAAUCAGCUAUGGCCCUUUAUCCUCUCCCAGAGCUCAAAUCAACUGUUUGCGGACUUUGGCACUGUUCAGUAUAACUGCAGAACCAGUAGAGGAAAUUCAAAUUUGCUGAUUUCCAGAAAGACAGUGGUUUCUGUGCAUUUUAAAAGUAUUUUAGUUCUUGGCAAUGGACUGAUGUUCUUUUGUUCUUUAAUGAUUCUGUACCAUAUCAUGCCAAUUUUAAGUUUAAGGUAAGUCAAAUUUUGGGCCUACACCACUUGAUGAAAUCCAUUCAGAACUGCUGUUGCCUUCCAGAUAAGUGUAGCUGUGAAGUAUAAAAAUUACAGAUGUACCUUCUUCUGGGCCUG